rnacentral:rRNA from 1 species
UACGAAGGGGGCUAGCGUUGCUCGGAAUGACUGGGCGUAAAGCGCUUGUAGGCGGCACGUCAAGUCGCGUGUGAAAUCCCCAGGCUUAACCUGGGAAGUGCGCGCGAAACUGACGAGCUGAGUGCCGGAGAGGGUCGCGGAAUUCCCGGUGUAGAGGUGAAAUUCGUAGAUAUCGGGAGGAACACCAGUGGCGAAGGCGGCGACCUGGACGGACACUGACGCUGAGACGGCGAAAGCGUGGGGAGCAAACA